rnacentral:rRNA from 1 species
GACGAACGCUGGCGGCGUGCUUAACACAUGCAAGUCGAACGGAAAGGCCCUGCUUUUGUGGGGUGCUCGAGUGGCGAACGGGUGAGUAACACGUGAGUAACCUGCCCUUGACUUUGGGAUAACUUCAGGAAACUGGGGCUAAUACCGGAUAGGAGCUCCUGCUGCAUGGUGGGGGUUGGAAAGUUUCGGCGGUUGGGGAUGGACUCGCGGGUCAUCAGCUUGUUGGUGGGGUAGUGGCUUACCAAGGCUUUGACGGGUAGCCGGCCUGAGAGGGUGACCGGCCACAUUGGGACUGAGAUACGGCCCAGACUCCUACGGGAGGCAGCAGUGGGGAAUAUUGCACAAUGGGCGGAAGCCUGAUGCAGAAACGCCGCGUGCGGGAUGACGGCUUUCGGGUUGUAAACCGCUUUCGCCUGUGACGAAGCGUGAGUGACGGUAAUGGGUAAAGAAGCACCGGCUAACUACGUG